GACAGAGGAUGCAAGCGUUAUCCGGAAUGAUUGGGCGUAAAGCGUCUGUAGGUGGUUUAUUAAGUCUACUGUUAAAGAUCAGGGCUUAACCCUGAGCAGGCAAUAGAAACUAAUAAGCUAGAGUACGGUAGGGGCAGAGGGAAUUCCCGGUGUAGCGGUGAAAUGCUUAGAUAUCGUCAAGAACACCUAUAGCGAAGGCAGCUUACUAAGCUGUAACUGACGCUGAGGCACGAAAGUGUGGGGAUCAAACAGG
rnacentral:rRNA from 1 species